CAAAAAGAAAGGUAUACAUCAUAGCUAAAGAUGUGGCAAGUCUUGUGAUUUUGCUGUAGCGUACAUUUCUCCACACUUUGAAAAGGUCCAUGGCAGCAGCGAGUGCCAAGUGGUAAUACCCAGCUGCAUCAAAUGGGUCCUGAAAUAAGAGGCUCAGAGAUAGUACAACUGGUGCAAGAGGACUGCAGAGCUCAGACUUUCUUCAUAAGCCUUCAGAUUCAUCAGCAAUUCCACCAAUUUAUUGCAUAACCUGAGUUCAGUGGUUUUGUUGCCAGUCUGAAGAGCAAGUGGAAGAGCCCUGUCCUGAAACACACAACAUCAGCUUAGAACAGGUCUUGCAACCAGAAGUGGAUUUGAAACAGGUGAUACCUGCUAACACCAUGACAAGUACUCACUGGAACAGUUUGCUGAGAGGUUCAUCUUUUGGUUCAGCAUUUAUAGAAUACCUGCUAUGG